UAUAUUGGACAAUGGGCGAAAGCCUGAUCCAGCCAUGCCGCGUGUGUGAAGAAGGUCCUCGGAUUGUAUAGCACUUUAAGUUGGGAGGAAGGGCAGUAAGUUAAUACCUUACUGCUUUGACGUUACCGACAGAAUAAGCACCGGCUCACUUCGUGCCAGCGUACGCGCUAAUACGAAGGGUGCAAGCGUUAAUCGGAAUUACUGGGCGUAAAGCGGGCGGUGGUGGUUUGUUAAGUUGGAAGUGAAGGCCCCGGGCUCAACCUGGGAACUGCUGUCGGAACUGGAAAGCUAGAGUAUGGCAGAAGGUGGUGGAAUUUCCUGUGUAGCGGUGAAAUGCGUAGAUAUAGGAAGGAACACCAGUGGCGAAGGCGACCACCUGGGCUAAUACUGACACUGAGGUGCGAAAGCGUGGGGAGCAAACA
rnacentral:rRNA from 1 species